rnacentral:misc_RNA from 1 species
UCUCCGUUGGUGAACCAGCGGAGGGAUCAUUACAGGAUCGAAAGACUCCUAUAACCCCUGUGAACUUACUACAAAUACGUUGCUUCGGCGGGUGCCCCGGGUCUCCCGGGGCGUUCAGCCCGCCGACAGCCUUCAAAUUCUGUUUCUUUGCGUUGGCAUCUCGAGUAUACAAAAAUAAGUUAAAACUUUCAACAACGGAUCUCUUGGUUCUG